CGCUGGCGGCGUGCCUAAUACAUGCAAGUCGAACGGUCUUUCUAUGGAAGCUUGCUUCCACUGAGAAGAUAGUGGCGAACGGGUGAGUAACACGUGGGUAACCUGCCCAUAAGAGGGGGAUAACAUCCGGAAACGGGUGCUAAUACCGCAUAGUUUUCUUGAUCGCAUGAUUGAGAAAGGAAAGACGGCCUUUGUGCUGUCGCUUAUGGAUGGACCCGCGGCGUAUUAGUUAGUUGGUGAGGUAACGGCUCACCAAGACGAUGAUACGUAGCCGACCUGAGAGGGUGAUCGGCCACAUUGGGACUGAGACACGGCCCAAACUCCUACGGGAGGCAGCAGUAGGGAAUCUUCCGCAAUGGACGAAAGUCUGACGGAGCAACGCCGCGUGAGUGAAGAAAGGUUUUCGGAUCGUAAAACUCUGUUGUCAGAGAAGAACAAGUUGGAGAGUAACUGCUCCAGCCUUGACGGUAUCUGACCAGAAAGCCACGGCUAACUACGUGCCAGCAGCGGC
rnacentral:rRNA from 1 species